rnacentral:pre_miRNA from 1 species
AGGGACGGGACGCGGUGCAGUGUUGUUCAUCUCCCUCCAAUAUUGCACUCGUCCCGGCCUCC